GCUAUCACUUCCUAGACUAGUAUGUCAACAGAACAAAAAUAAUUUCAGAUAAAAAGGUAAUGGACUGAUGUUGCACCAGGUGUAGAAGGUUUACAAUUUUAUAUGUUAUACUAUAAGCAGUCAACUGAAAUUUUUGAAUGAUUGCCUUUUGAUCAAUUAUUAAGUCUGCAUACCACCACAAGAUGUGGAAGAGAGCCAAAGAUAAACUAUUUAGCAACGAAGACAGCACGGAUGGGGGUGGAAGUGCUGCGAAUCUUGAGAACAGUGAUCCUGAGUUGUGUAUCCAACUACUCCGAAUCCCAUCUAUUCAAAACUACAGCGGACUGAAAAAAAGAAUUACGACCGCAGAUCCAGAAUGGAUGCAAAACUUCCUCGAGAUGGACGGCUUAGACGUGUUGCUAAGCACAUUGGAACGACUGUCCGAUCAUAAAUCCUCAGGAAUCGCUAAUGCGUAUCUACAGCUUGGAAUUGUAGGUGUUAUCAAAGCUAUUUUAAACUCGAAAACUGGCAUGGAAUUUAUUGUAGAUAAUCCAGAAAUGACGCGCAAAUUAGGACGUGCCCUUGAUACGAAGAAUGAGAUGGUCAAAAUACAACUUAUUGAGUUGCUAUCAGCUUUGUGUGUUCACUCGAGCAGUGGAUACACAUUGGCUAUAGAUUCAUUGGAACAUUAUAAGAUCACAAAACAACAACGCUACCGAUUUAGCUUCAUGGUCAACGAGUUAAAGCAAGAUGUUAUCAUCCCGUACAAAGCAUCAUUGGUCAGUUUCAUCAACGCCAUUCUUAUAUCGACGGAGGAUUUUGAUGAACGCAUUAGGCUACGAAACGAGUUUAUUGGGUUAAAGCUUCUUGAUAUCCUGACCCAGCUAAGACUGGACAUAGACUCAAGGGAUCUUGAUAAAGACCACCCAGACUUGACCAUCCAACUUGACGUGUUUGAUGAUCAUAAAGAGCAAGAUGACGGGGAAUUGCAACAUCCAGAUGGAAUUGACCUCAACAGCCCUGUACAUGUCUUUGAUGCAGUCUUUAAAAGAGUCUGUGAAAGCCCCCAAGCAGCCAGUCUGUUAGCGAUUCUGCAGGACUUGUUUCUACUUGAUAUGGACAAUGAAAAUACAGAUGCGAUCUGGCACCUGAUAGAGGUGCUAGUCAGAAAAGCGGUACAAAUGGACCAAGAUGAGAUCAUGAAGGUUUUUACUGAACAUAAGAAUCAUGUAGUUGCUAUGCUACCACCCAAGAAAUUUGUGAGAAAGCAGGGAAAAACAGAUGAUGAAAAAUUAGCUUCCAAAAAACCAUGCAAAAUUGGCAGUACACAGACUGAUAUUAAAGUGUUUAUGCGUGCAGAGGCUGCGUCGCAGACUACAGGAGAACCACAGACAAAUACUGCUAGCCCUACACCAGCAAUUCCACCACCACCACCUCCAUCAAGCAUUUGUAUUCCUCCACCGCCUCCGCCACCACCACCACCAGGAGGUAUGGUGCCACCUCCGCCACCACUUCCUGGUGCUGGAGUACCUCCACCACCACCACCACCAUUCCCUGGUGCUGGUGUACCUCCACCACCACCAUUCCCUGGUGCUGGUGUACCUCCUCCUCCACCACUUCCUGGUGGUGGUGGUGUUCCACCACCACCACCUUUCCCAGGUGGUGGCGCUCCACCACCACCACCACCAUUCCCGGGUGGUGGUGCUCCUCCACCUCCACCACCAGGCGGUUGGAUAACGCCUCAGGUAGCUUCAACUAAUUUUGCAACUCCCGUACCCAGGCCAAGCAAGAAACUGAAAGUUGUCAACUGGGUGAAGAUCAAGCCAACCGAACUACAACGCCAGGCCUCGCAUGCUGACAAACAGAAUGUAUGGAUAAAAGUAAAGGAAAAGGAAUCUCCUUUGACUCCAGACUAUGAGGUUUUAGAAGAGCUUUUCUGUCAAGCGCCGAAGGUUGAGAAGAAAACUGACGAAAAGAAAAAGAAGGCACCAACAGAGAUAAAUUUACUUGACGGUAAGCGUAGUCUGAACAUCAACAUAUUCCUGAAACAGUUCCGCAAACCAAACGAGGUCAUUAUCGACAUUAUAAAGAAUGGUGACAGCAAAAGCUUUGGGUCUGACCGACUCAAAGCCCUUCAAAAAUUACUUCCAGAAAAAGAUGAGUUGUCCAUGCUGAAGUCAUUUGAUGGUGAUGAGACAAAGCUUGGUUCUGCAGAGAAGUUCCUGCUUAUGCUGUCAAAUCUGAAGAAUUAUAAACUGCGAAUAGAAGGAAUGCUACUGAAAGAGGAUUUUUCUGAAAAGAUUGAGUACUUAAGACCAUCAUUACAUACUAUACAUAAUGCCUGUGAUGAUAUCUUAAGCAGUGAAACUAUUGAAGAAUUUCUUGUUCUUAUCUUGAAUAUUGGUAAUUUCAUGAACUCCGGUUGCUAUGCUGGUAACGCAGCUGGUUUCAAAGUCUCCUCCUUACUGAAGUUAAUCGACACGAAAGCCAAUAAACCGAGAAUGAAUUUAAUGCACUAUAUUGUUGAAAGAGCGGAAGAACAAAACAGAGGCAUGCUUGACUUUCCAGAUGAGAUGGAGAGUUUACAUGAUGCUUGCAGACUGUCAAUUGAUUCACUGAAGUCUGAAGUAAACCAAUUGGGUAAAAGCCUUGAGAAACUAGACAAACAGAUUUCAAAAGCUUCAAAAGACAUCAAGGAACAAUUCAAGGCCUUUACAAAGAAAUCAGAAAAGGAGGUUGACAUGCUAAAGCAAGACAUCAAACAAAUUGAAAAGCAGAGUGCAGAGCUUUGCGAGUUCUUUAUGGAAGAUCCGUCCAAAUUCAAACUGCAGGACUUCUUGGGAGUCGUAAAAAUAUUUGCUGAACGAGUAAAACAAUGCCAACAGGAAAAUGAAAAAAGGCGAAAGCUUGAAGAGAAACAAAAGCGAAGACAGGAGGAAAAACAAAGACAAUUAAAAGAAGGUGGAGGGAGAAAAGUUGGCAAAAUCCCAAUUGCUCAAGAAGAAGAUGGGAACAUUGUCGAUAAUUUGUUGGCAGAUAUCCGUAAGGGUUUCCAGUUAAAAAGGCUAAGCCUUACUGACAAAACACUACUGAAGAAAAGGCCUUCAUUGAGGGUGAAAUCACCCACUUCCCCUAGAGUAAUGUCAUUCAAAGGAAACAUUGAACCAAGUGAAGAUUGGGUAGAUAUAACUUUACCUACAACGAUGGAAGAAAUACCAAAUGGAAACACAGCAACAGAAAGUGUUGAACCAAAGCAGCAGAAAUUAGAAGUUGAAACAGUGGUUAGCAAAGUUGAACCAAAGCAAAGUGUGUUGGAAUUAAAUCCACCCAAUGAGAUAAAUGAAAUAGCAAAUGGGCAAGCAGUAAUAAAUGGAUUUGAUCACUCAGACCCUGAAGACACAACCAAUCAAGCAAUAACUAUGGCUGAUUCACAAAAAAUAGAAACUGAAAUAAACUCAUCUCAAUUAGUCAAAGAUGAACCCGUUGAAAAAACUGCCCAGCCAGAAGAAAAAUUGCUAUCAAUAAGUACAGUUGAUCCAGAACAAAUAGAAAUUGAAUUCAACUCAUCUCAGAUAGUCAAAGAUGAAUCAGUUGAAAAACCUAUGCAGCCAGAAAAAGAAAAUUUAUCUACAAUUGACCACAUUAUUCUUGAGUCUGAAAGUAUGAACACUAAUGGCUUCCAUGAUCCUAACGCUAAUGAUAUUAAAACGUCUCAAGGACAAGUAGAAAGUGAACGUAGGAAAUCUGACGACGAUCAAAAUGCAAGACCUGAAUCAUCGGCAUCCUCAGCAUCUGCAAACACUGUAAUUGAGGUGUUUCCAAAAACACCAGAAAAAACUCAGAAAGUCCGUCCCACGAAUAUACAACCUACCGCAAAAGACAAUAUGAAAAGGUUGAACCUUGAAUUGGAACAACGUUUUACCUCUUCAAAACCAAACAGUACGUCUGUGGUACAGAUAAAUAGGAGCUCUGGUGAAAGUGAACUUAGUGAUAUUGGAAAAGAGGAGGGAACACAUUUUGAUCCUUGGGUUCAGAUGACUACAGAACAGCCUAAAAUCAAAAGGGACUCUUCAAAGAAAAUUCACUUUGCAGAUGAUAAUAGAAAUGAAUCAGAAAAGGAUACACCGAUAUCGGUUGUCAAAACCACAACUGAUCCAUCAGAGAUUGCCACAACUGGGGAAGCAUCACCCGAACUUUCCGAAUCAAAUGAAGCUACACGAAAACAGUCAAAAAAAGCACGAAAAGGGUCAAAGAAACAAAGCAUAAGUGAACAAGAACUACAUAUUGAAGAUGAUAAGGAUAAGCGUCGUAACAGCAGACUUUUCCGCUCGCUAAAUUUCAUGCGCAAAAAGCGGAAAAUGUCGAACCAGGAUGACAAAAACCAUAAAGCUGUUAAAAGAUCAAACAGUGCAAAACAUGGGGUUGAGUAUGAGCCGCCCUCUAUGUCCUCUUCUUCAAGUUUGGCAGCUGACGCAGAAUACAUUCCACCUUCCCAAGUUGGCAAGAAAGUUGGGUUUCUCGCAGGUUUGAUUUCCAGGAAAAGUCCUGAGAAGCGGCACGGGAGAAAAGUGAUAACGAAAGAAAAACCCAGUGAAGAGAUAGAAUUAAAAGACGAAAAGAAAAAACUGAAGGAAAAGAGAAAGAAUAGUAAAUUAGAUAGUUAACAAGAAUGGUAAAUUAAUGAAUAAAAUUAGUAAUGAAUAAAAUGUUUAAAAUCUUGUAUUUUUUUUUUUUUGCAAGAGUCUGUAAUGUGAAAGACAAAAUGAGUGAGUGUUUCAUCACAUGAAUUAUCAAUAUGUAUGUAAUUUUUAACUGUGGUGGAGGUUAAAUUGUGUGUUUAAGUACUAACUUUUAUCUUUGCAACAAUAUCAUGUUGACGUAUUUUUAAAAAUAUGGAUUUUUAUAACAUUUUUAAGUAUUGUAACAUGUAUGUGUAACCUAAGCAUUGUACUUUAAUAUUUCAAAAUAUGUGAUUGUUUUAAUCGCAGAUGGUUAUGGCUGUCAGUGACCUUGGUGUGACUCGGACUUCUUAUAAGCCUAUGAGAAAAGAUUUAAGAUGUAAAACAGGCAUAAGUUUGGAUAACCUUAACAUGAAUUUUAUUGUUUUAUCGAUAGGCCUAUUAUACUCGGAAAACCACUAAUUAAAUAAAUGAAUUUGCAAUAGGGAUAUUAUAAAGUACACAGAUAACAAAGACUAUGAAUUUGAAUACUGGUAUUGUUUAAUAAUGUAAUAAAAUUGGUAGUUAUACCGCA